rnacentral:lncRNA from 10 species
UGAGGCAGGAGAAUUGCUUGAACCCUGGCGGCAGAGAUUGCAGUGAGCCAAGAUCAUGCCACUGCACUCUAGCCUGGGCGACAGAGCAAAACUGUGCCUAAAAAAGAAAAAAAGACAGAAAAGAAAUACAUCUGGAAUUAGAAAUAAACAACGUCGUUUCAGUUUGGUGACAUGGAAUUUAAGUAUGAGUGACUCCAUUUUGGAACAACUCUGUGGGGCUGCUUGGAAGCCCCCGGAGAGAAGCCUGAGCUGCAUCUCACCGUGUGUUUCAUCCAUGGCGUGCUCCCAGCUCUAGCGUGCGUGGAGAGAGGUCAUGGAGUGUGGUUGCUUUACUUUCUACAAAAGUUCCGAAAGCAGGAGCCCACUGGGUGAGCUGGGGAAGGAACAGAAUGGGAGGGGGAGAGAGGAGGAAGUCACUGCAGCUCGUGAUCUCACCCCUAAACCUUCUGUUAGUCAAGUUCCUAGCCCCACAAAACGCUUGGUGUGAGUAGAUACCUUAUGUAACUGGUGAGGUGCCUGGGCUUUUUUAUCAUUGUGUCUAAGGGAUGGAACAGAGGCAGCUCACACAGACUCAGAAGCAUUUAGGACAGAAGAGACCACGAGGAGGAGCCCCCUGGGAACUUGCAGGAAUGGUGGAAGACUGACAACGUCCCCCUGACAUCUAGGUUACAGUUUUAGAGUAGACGGAG